GUGUCAGCAGCCGCGGUAAUACGGAGGGUGCAAGCAUUAAUCGGAUUUAUUGGGCGUAAAGGGCGCGUAGGCGGGAACAUAAGUCAGAUGUGAAAGCCCGGGGCUCAACCUCGGAACAGCAUUUGAUACUGUGAUUUCUAGAGGGUAGUCGGAGAAAAUGGAAUUCCACAAGUAGCGGUGAAAUGCGUAGAUAUGUGGAAGAACACCGGUGGCGAAAGCGAUUUUCUAGAUUAUACCUGACGCUGAGGCGCGAAAGCAAGGGGAUCAAACAGGAUUAGAUACCCUGGUAGUCCUUGCCAUAAACGAUGUAUACUUGGUGUAACCGGACUCAACCCUGGUUGUGCCGAAGCUAACGCGAUAAGUAUACCGCCUGGGGAGUACAGUCGCAAGGCUGAA
rnacentral:rRNA from 1 species